GAGAAUUCCAACAUGGAUUUUAAUGAAAACUCGCAAAAGGUGGCAAACUCUUUGAUCUUUUAAGGGAUUCUUUAUUUAUCGAUUUUUUGAAAAAUUUUUCGAUUUUUGCUCGGAGCUGCAUUUCUGAAGGAAAGUUCAGUUCGCUUCAGUUCGUGAGCUCGAUUCGCACGGAAAAAUUUAAGGUUUCCAUUGUAUAAACCACACGAAAAGUGUACAGAAAUAGAAAAAAAAUUGGAAAAAACUAGCAGAAAAUAAUCUUCGUACCUCCAAAUAAAUAAUCAAAAAAUUGCUAUUGAAAAACGAGUUUUUCGAUCCUCAAAAUAGUUUGCCAAGGGCAGUGUCCAUCCAGUAGCAACGAUGAUCACAGCAGCGAGGGAAACGCAGUGAAAAAAUUCGUUUCUCAUUCGAGCCAGUCUUUGGUGUCGAUCCAUUGGAGUAUCACAUCUCGCUUUUCGUCUACUUUGUAAAUUUCUCACCGCGGAUAAGUUUCGGUAUUGUUAAGCGGCCCAAAACUUCUACCUGGCAGGAUGAUGGCCUGACAGAGGUCAUGAUCCCGACAGCAAGCAUCGGUUUGCCUGAAGAGUCCGAGGUCGUUUACGUCCUUUG